rnacentral:antisense_RNA from 1 species
CAUCUGCUGGGGAUGUAGGUCCACGUCCUUGACCCAUGACCUUUCCUCAUUCCUGCCCCCAUCCCUCCUCAAGCCACACCCACUACAUCCCUUGAGUCCUCCAUCCCCCCUCCCCCAUCUCCCUGUCCACAGCCUCUGCCUGUCCUCUCCUUCCCUGUACCACCCCCACCCGAGGUCUUCCUCCAUCUCCUUGGGAACACAGAUCUCCUCUAGCAGGCACUCUCAGACCACAGCCUGCUGGCCCCAGCACCCGGUCUUGCUCCCAGCCUCUUCCCACCACAGCAGCCUCUUCCCUCCGGAUUCAGCUCAGGUGCUCAGAACUGCCAGGACCCAGAGGAUUCACAUGCCAGCCCCGGCUGAAGCCCAGCUCCUCAUCAACCGGUGAGCCGCCUGCCAGCUCCUGCUUUGGCUGCCGAGAGGCCUGAAGUGACUAAGACAGAGACACAGCCCCGCAGCACCACAGGGAGGCCCCAAUUACCCCAUGCGGAUGAGUUUCAUGGCCACCUCUAACUAAGGAAAGGACAUCGAUGUCAUCUGUAACUUCCGGUGCACUGGGGCACACAGCUGCAUCUCCCCAUGCUCACCUCCUGCCUCUUGCUCUGCCCAGUGUGAGGACUUAGCCUGGAUCACCUCCUCCAGGACAAGAACAACCUACCAUCAUCUGUCCGUCCAAUCUACCCACCCAUCCAUCUCUGCCUCUGGGCAUGCAUCUGUCCGUCCAUCCAUCCCUGCCUCUGUGCACGCAUCUGUCAGUCUAUCAAUCCCCGAUCCCUUCUUUGUAUCAGUGUUGAGCGCUCACAACUCCCUCAUCCUAAGAUGCUCGUUGGAUCCAUUCCCUCCUCUCACCCCAUGCCGCUCUCUGCCCUCCCUUCCCGGUCAAGUUCUCCAGCCACAGGUCUCAACUCAAUCCUCACUUCCCCCGCUCCUCUCACACCUAUCCCCACUGCGUUCUAAAUUCUUCCCCAACACGCUGGGUCUACAGGCACUAAAAAGUGCACCUUGUCCCUGGAGGACCAAACACAGGCCAAUGUAACUUACUGGGCUUGUUUUGCCCCAGCCACGGCUGACCACUUCCUCCUUCACUCUUGUUGUUGAUAACCUUUGGGCUCAGUCUUUCUCCAUCUCUGUUGAGUCCUUCUCCCCGCCACCUACCCCUUCAUGCUGGGGUUCUCUGUAGCUCUGUACCUGACUGUCAACAUUCCACCCUUUCCUCCCAGAAGCUCGCCAACCCCGCAGACUGCUGGCUCUCAGUCCUACAGCAGCUGACAAUGCACAGCAUGCGGCCCGGGGCAGGCCCUGUGCUGAGAGGUAUGGGUGAAUGGCUCAUUUCAUCGGCAAGCCCACGCCACCAGCAGGCGCCAUUCUCCUCGCAUUUCUCAGGUAAGGAACCUGAGACAAUGAGGUUAAGGAAGUUGUUCAUUACAAGUGGAAGAACCCUGACUUACUUGAAUUCAACUUUGAAGCCCACAUUCUCUUUUUGUGUGUGUGUGACAGGGUCUCACUUUGUCACCCAAGCCGCAGUACAGUGGUGUGAACACAGCUCAUUGCAGUCUCAACCUCCCUGACUCAAGCAAUCCUCCUGUUUUAGCCUCCUGAGUAGCUGGGACUACAAGCUUGUGCCACCACGCCUGGCCGAAGCCCAUAUCUGAAUGUUGAGGCACACAGCCUCCCCAGCCUCUGCCUCACCAAGCCCUCCGCAGGGUCUAGGCACCCUCCCUGGCUGCCCCCUUCCCCCCUCACUCAGGCUCCCCAGCAGACAAUGUAGUUAAUAUGGGGCUACAAAGAGCUGGGCCUGGCCUCAGGCGGGACUGCCUCCCCGGCAUUGCCAUCCCUGCUGCAGAGCUCCCAUGCGAUCAGGCUCCUCUCCAGCUGAGACCACAUCCUCACUGAGCUUCUAGGCUGUUCCUGCUUCCCCCUCAGCACAUGGUCCCUGAGAAACUGCUUGCACAAGAAUUUCCCUCUGGAGCUCCACCUCUGGGGAACCUGACCUCAGACAGAGGAGACCAAGCUCUAGGGCAGGAUCCUCAGCUUCCCUUGCCCCACCUGUGUGGCCAGCCAGGAGCGCUGCAGACUCCCGCCCAGACCUGCACUCGUGCCUGCCUUCUGCCAGCCUGCUCCUCCCCCUCCCACUCUCCCACCUGCAUUAGCAGCACCAGGAUGCCAUCCUCCAAGGGCCCCAGCCUCACGUCCCCUGUCACCAGGAUCCAGCCAGAUCUCAAUCCUUGCCCAUCCUAACUGAGCCUCCCUCAGAUCCGUCCACUGCCCCCUUCCCCAGGACCACACUCCACCAUCUCUUGCCUGGACCCUGCGAGAACUUCCUGCCUCCCUGCCUCUACCCUACCCCCUGCCCCCCGCUGAAGCUGAUGAUAGUUCCAGAAAGCAAAACCCCUUAAUGUUUCCCCCAUUGAACAAAGUCUUCCACAUGCUUUCAAGGUCUUUGGUGAUCCGAGACCUGCCUCCUUCUGCAGUCUCCCUACUGAUGCCAUAGUUUUGGCUUCUGGCCUCAGAUGUCCUGGGUCAUUUCCCUGCUCACUGUCUCCUCAUAUCCCUGACUCAGCUGGCUCGCUGCUUUCCCGUUGGAUCUCAUGUAUCAUGAGAUACAUGAUAUAUAUCAUGUAUAUAUAUAUAUUUGAGAUGGAGUUUUGCUCUUGUUGCCCAGGCUGGAGUGCAGUGGCACAAUGUCAGCUCACUGCAACCUCUGCCUCCAGGAUUCAAUCGAUUCUCCUGCCUCAGCCUCUCCAGUAGCUGGGAUUACAGGUGUGCACCACCAUACCCGGCUAAUUUUUUGUAUUUUUAGUAGAGACGAGGUUUCAACAUGUUGGUCAGGCUGGUCUCAAACUCCUGACCUCAGGUGAUCCACCCGCCUGUGCCUCCCAAAGUGCUGGGAUUACAGGUGAAAGCAAUCGCGCCCAGCCUAUAUUCAUAUAUAUAUUGAGGGAAUGAAGUCACCUCUUCUAGGAAGCCUCCCCUUGCCCAAGAGCUUUGGGCCAACAUCUCUGAGCCCCUGCAGGCUUGAGGACUUCCUCUGCUGGGAUUCUGUGGAGCUGUGUCACCGUGGGUGUUGUCAUUGCCAGUCACUCUUCUGACUCAGCUGCCAGGUAAAGAUUUGUUUUCGUCUCUGUAAGCCCCCAGCUCUGGCUUGGAGCUAGGCACCUGCUAGACCUCUGUGAUGGUUCAUUUUGUGUGUCAAUUUGGCCUGGCUGUUGUGCCCAGCUGGUUGGUGAAACACCAGUCUAGAUACUAUGGUGAAGGUGCUUUGUAGAUGCAAUUAACAUCUACCAUCAGUUGACCUUAAGUAGCUCAUGCUCCAUAGUGUGGCUGGGGGUGGGGUGGGGGCAGAGCCAAUCAGUUCAAGGCCUUGAGAGCUAAAGCUAAGGUUUCCUGAAGAGGAAGGAAUUCUGCCUCCAGACUGUCACUGAAAUCCUGAGUUGCCAGCCUGCCAUACAAAUUUUGGACUUGCUAGCCCCUGCAAUCCCGUGAGCCAAUUCCUUAAAAUAAAUCUCUUUACACACACACACGCACACACACACCCCACACACACACAUACACAUGCACACACAUCCCACACACACAUGCACACACACACACAUCCUAUUGGUUUUGUUUCUCUGGAGACCCCCCAGGUGAUAAAGCCUCCAUCGAUAAAUAUAAUUUAAACCUAA